rnacentral:rRNA from 1 species
AGCGUACGUGGUGGAUGCCUUGGCAGCUAGAGGCGAUGAAGGACGUGGUAGGCCACGAAAGGCCUCGGGGAGCCGUCAAACAGGCUUUGAUCCGGGGGUGUCCGAAUGGGGAAACCCACCUCUUUGAGGUAUCACUUACUGAAUACAUAGGUAAGUGAGGCAAACGCGGAGAACUGAAACAUCUAAGUACCCGUAGGAAAAGAAAUCAACCGAGAUUCCCUAAGUAGCGGCGAGCGAACGGGGACCAGCCCUUAAGUGAUUUUUAAGUUAGCAGAACAUUCUGGAAAGUUUGGCGAUAGAGGGUGAUAGCCCCGUAUGCGAAAACUUUUAAAUCAUGAAAUCGAGUAGGUCGGGACACGUGAAAUCCUGACUGAACAUGGGGGGACCAUCCUCCAAGGCUAAAUACUCCUAGCUGACCGAUAGUGAACUAGUACCGUGAGGGAAAGGCGAAAAGAACCCCGGCGAGGGGAGUGAAAUAGAACCUGAAACCGCGUACGUACAAGCAGUAGGAGCCCUUCGGGGUGACUGCGUACCUUUUGUAUAAUGGGUCAGCGAGUUAUUGUCUGUAGCAAGGUUAACCGUUUAGGGGAGCCGUAGGGAAACCGAGUCUUAAUAGGGCGACUAGUUGCAGGUAAUAGACCCGAAACCGGACGAUCUAGCCAUGGGCAGGUUGAAGGUUGAGUAACAUCAACUGGAGGACCGAACCCACCUAUGUUGAAAAAUGGGGGGAUGACCUGUGGCUCGGAGUGAAAGGCUAAUCAAGUCCGGAGAUAGCUGGUUCUCCUCGAAAUCUAUUUAGGUAGAGCCUCGUGUUUGACUGCUGGGGGUAGAGCACUGUGUCGGCUAGGGGGUCAUCCCGACUUACCAACCCGAUGCAAACUCCGAAUACCAGUAAGUUCUAUCACGGGAGACAGACGGCGGGUGCUAACGUCCGUCGUCGAAAGGGAAACAACCCAGACCGCCAGCUAAGGUCCCAAAUUACAGUUAAGUGGGAAACGAUGUGGGAAGGCUUAGACAGCUAGGAGGUUGGCUUAGAAGCAGCCACCCUUUAAAGAAAGCGUAAUAGCUCACUAGUCGAGUCGGCCUGCGCGGAAGAUUUACCGGGGCUAAACUGUAAACCGAAGCUGCGGAUACACGCUUGCGUGUAUGGUAGAGGAGCGUUCUGUAAGCCGCUGAAGCUGGGUCGUGAGGCUUAGUGGAGGUAUCAGAAGUGCGAAUGCUGACAUGAGUAACGAUAAGGGGGGUGAAAAACCUCCCCGCCGAAAGAUCAAGGUUUCCUGUCCAACGUUAAUCGGGACAGGGUGAGUCGGCCCCUAAGGCGAGGGCGAAAGCCGUAGUCGAUGGGAAACCGGUUAAAAUUCCGGUACCGGAUCUUACUGCGACGGAGUGACGGAGAAGGCUAGGCUAGCACGGCGAUGGUUGUCCGUGUUUAAGCGAGUAGGUAGGGGAGUUAGGUAAAUCCGGUUCCUCGUUAAUCUGAGACGUAAUGACGAUCCUGAAGGGAGACCUGACGGAGAAGUAGUCGAUGCCAUGCUUCCAGGAAAAACUUCUAAGCUUCAGGUAAGAAACGACCGUACUGUAAACCGACACAGGUGAUCAGGUAGAGAAUACCAAGGCGCUUGAGAGAACUUGGGUGAAGGAACUAGGCAAAAUGGUACCGUAACUUCGGGAGAAGGUACGCUCCUUUUGGUGAUCAGACUUGCUCUGUAAGCUGAGGGGAGUCGCAGUGACCAGGUGGCUGCAACUGUUUACUAAAAACAUAGCACUCUGCAAACUCGUGAGAGGAAGUAUAGGGUGUGACGCCUGCCCGGUGCCGGAAGGUUAAUUGAUGGGGUUAGCUUAGGCGAAGCUCUUGAUCGAAGCCCCGGUAAACGGCGGCCGUAACUAUAACGGUCCUAAGGUAGCGAAAUUCCUUGUCGGGUAAGUUCCGACCUGCACGAAUGGCGUAAUGAUGGCCACGCUGUCUCCACCCAAGACUCAGUGAAAUUGAAAUCGCUGUUAAGAUGCAGUGUACCCGCGGCUAGACGGAAAGACCCCGUGAACCUUUACUAUAGCUUCACACUGGACUUUGACCUUAUUUGUGUAGGAUAGGUGGGAGACUUUGAAACCAUGACGCCAGUUGUGGUGGAGUCAUCCUUGAAAUACCACCCUGGUAAUGUUGAGGUUCUAACUUAGCUCCUGAAACGGGAGUGAGGACAGUGUGUGGUGGGUAGUUUGACUGGGGCGGUCUCCUCCCAAAGAGUAACGGAGGAGC